UGGGGAAUUUUGGACAAUGGGCGAAAGCCUGACCCAGCAAUGCCGCGUGUGUGAAGAAGGCCUUCGGGUUGUAAAGCACUUUUGUCCGGAAAGAAAUGGCCCUGGUUAAUACCUGGGGUCGAUGACGGUACCGGAAGAAUAAGGACCGGCUAACUACGUGCCAGCAGCCGCGGUAAUACGUAGGGUCCAAGCGUUAAUCGGAAUUACUGGGCGUAAAGCGUGCGCAGGCGGUUGUGCAAGACCGAUGUGAAAUCCCCGAGCUUAACUUGGGAAUUGCAUUGGUGACUGCACGGCUAGAGUGUGUCAGAGGGGGGUAGAAUUCCACGUGUAGCAGUGAAAAUGCGUAGAGAUGUGGAGGGAAAUACCGAUGGGCGAAGGCAGCCCCCUGGGAAUAACACUGACGCUCAUGCACGAAAAGCGUGGGGAGCAAACAGGAUUAGAUACCCUGGUAGUCCACGCCCUAAAACGAUGUCAACUAGUUGUUGGGGAUUCAUUUCCUUAGUAACGUAGCUAACGCGUGAAGUUGACCGCCUGGGGAGUACGGUCGCAAGAUUAAAAAGCUUAAAGUG
rnacentral:rRNA from 1 species